CACCUAAGACAAGGAGAAAGGAAAGAAUGUAACAAGAAAGAAUUAAUCCCGUGGUAUUUAAUCUAGACAUCACCUCUCUACUUUUCUUGGAGGAGUCCUUUCUCCUUUUGCCAGACAGCGCUUUUCUCUGAAAUGUCCUUUUCCCCUUCACUGCUCUCUCAUAUUUUCAUUUUGGCAGCUCCUGGUACCGUUUCAGUUUCCUUUUAUCUCAUUCAUUCCUACUUCAUUCUUGUCCCCUCUUUACUCACUACAUUGUUGAACAGACCUGAACAGUAUUCAACAACAGGAGCUGAGACAGGCGUAGAAUUCUGUCACAUCAUACUACUGACCGUCGCUGAGCACAUUUUUCACCUGGAGAAACUCAUCUGUGCGGUCACCUCCUAUGAUGGUAAAUCCAAAUCCUUGGGAGCUCUUCUUCAGCGCUGUGUGGUAAAUCUCCCCUUUCAGCUGGCUGGGGUCUGCGGUGAAGCCAGAUGCACCACCUUUACCUGUGCAGAACAUGCUUCUGCCGUUAUGACACCGUGGAAAAUUGUUAUAAACCCAGUGGAAGUAAAGAGGGGGGCGCAUUGUGCAUUGUUACCUUGAGAAGGUGCUGCUGCGGCAUGCUGGAUCGCUGCAGUCUCCUGGCUCAGCUUCUUCUUUGCCUCCAGGACAGGGUUCUCAAACUGGGUUUUCUGAUUGAUGUGGCUGUAACAUAAAGAGGUUCAGGUUUGUGAGAAGAGACUUGGAAUCCAAACACGCACACCCAUAGACAUGCUAAUCUCUCACUUAUUGAGCUUACUGCAUCAUUUUUCUGCAGUUAAUUAUGUAUGCACCAUCCUUUUAGAGGAAGUAUAAUUUUCUGAUAGAGGGAUGCUAUAGUGGUGCCAGUAAACAAAUUCACAAGCACAGCACACAUACAGUAAAUUCUGACUUGCCUCCUCUUUAUGUGGGGGAAGUACCAUGGCUUUUAGCCAUUUAAUAUUAUAGGAAAUGAACCCCUGACUGCCAGAAACAUCCUGUUCCCCUACAACAAGGUAAACAGCCUGUUGUCCCCUGGCAUACAAACAAGAGCCAUUGCUUCAUAGUGAGCUCAUUUCAAGCUAAACACUAGCAGGUACAAGCUCCAUCUAUAUGCCAUUGACUCUCCCUGUCCAAACAGUGCAGGUUUCUCUCUCAUGUCACUUCUAGGAGCGUUUAUAUGCUUUCUGAGCAAUAAAACAAUGCGAGAAUUCCCAUUUUCUUUUCAACACGACAGAUUGCUACCUCGUCUUCCAACCCCCACUCCGCUUCUUCCAUGCAUUCUAGUUCAAAAUCUCCCCAUUUCUCUCUACUGCUGUUACAAUGGCUGUGUUUCACAGAUUUCCUGCUGGGGUGUUGAUGACAAAUACACAUUUAGCACACAGACAAAUAUACAAACAAUGUGCAAUGACAAAUACACAGACUCUAUAAGCACACACAAACACUGACAGAAUGCGAUGAGAGAAAAAUCUGUUUUGUGUUCAUAUACAGGUCACUGCAAUGUUACCCGCAGAGUUUCAUUUUGCCACCCACCGAUAAACAAUGUGAAAAUCCUGAUCAAAAUCUUCAAGUGUUCUCCAGGUAAGCCAUUGACCAGUGGUGGCCGCUCAUCAUCGUCCUCCUCCUCAGGUACAGCGCUGUCCUUCCUGUCCAUCUUACUGACUGAGGUUGUGCGUUUCCUGGGGACCUCGCCACCAAAG